GACAGAGGGGGCAAGCGUUGCUCGGAAUCACUGGGCGUAAAGGGCGCGUAGGCGGGAUGGCAAGUCAGGCGUGAAAUUCCCGGGCUCAACCUGGGGCUGCGCUUGAUACUGGUGAGCUUGAAUGCGGGAGAGGAUAGUGGAAUUCCCAGUGUAGAGGUGAAAUUCGUAGAUAUUGGGAAGAACACCGGUGGCGAAGGCGGCUAUCUGGCCCGUAAUUGACGCUGAGGCGCGAAAGCGUGGGGAGCAAACAGG
rnacentral:rRNA from 1 species